rnacentral:rRNA from 1 species
UACGUAGGGCGCAAGCGUUGUCCGGAAUUAUUGGGCGUAAAGAGCUCGUAGGCGGCCUGUUGCGUCCGCUGUGAAAUCCCGGGGCUCAACCCCGGGCCUGCAGUGGAUACGGGCUGGCUAGAGGCAGGCAGGGGAGAACGGAAUUCCUGGUGUAGCGGUGAAAUGCGCAGAUAUCAGGAGGAACACCGGUGGCGAAGGCGGUUCUCUGGGCCUGUACUGACGCUGGAGGAGCGAAAGCGUGGGGAGCGAACAGG